GGGCCCGUAGCUCAGCCAGGCAGAGCGGCGGACGCUGGGUGACCCGUAGGUCAGGGGUUCGAAUCCCCUCGGGCCCA
rnacentral:tRNA from 1 species